UCCUGGUCUGUACUGGUCUGUCCUGGUUUGUUCCCCCAAUCCCCAAAGCCCCUCCCCAGUUCCCCCAGGACCCUCCUGCACCCCAAAGCCCCCCAGGCCCCCCCAGGCCCCUGACUUGGUCCUGCUGCCCCUUGAGCAUCUGCAGCUCCUGCAGAACCAGGCAUUUCAUCAGCAAAUGUGCAGCUGACACCAAGCUGGGGGUGUGUUGAUGUGCUGGAAGGCAGGAGGGCUCUGCAGAGGGACCUGGCCAAGCUGGAUCCAUGGGCAGAACAGGAUCAGACAUAUUCUGUCAUCCUGGGACAGGGUUCAGGGUAUCAUGAACCAAGUGCCAGACAAGUCCCACUCUUCCCCUAAACACAAAGAUGAGAAGAAGAGCAGUAAGUCUCCGGAGAAGCCAGAGAAGAAGCCUCUGGAAAAACAUGGCAGCCACAAGAGUCUUCAGCGGGAAGGGGAAGUUGCAGAAGGCUCAGUCAGAAGCCAGGAUGCCGGAGUGCCCUGCUUGGACUUCCACGUCACGCGUCGUGAAAAGGUGUUUAGGAGGAUCCUGAAGAGCAAGAAGCUGCCACCACCAAAGCAGAUCCUGCACUCUCUGGGACUGGGACCUCCCAUUCCCCCUGGCUCUCUUUUCUCUGUGGUCCCCUACCCAGAGGAGGACAGAGUCCCCACAGCAACAGAAGACCUCAGACACUUCAUCCUUGUUGAACCUGAGGGUGCUGCUGCAGAAGAUGAUGUGGCCCCAGAGGCAGAGGCACAGGACCACUUGAAUGAGG